rnacentral:misc_RNA from 1 species
GUUUUUAGUUGUACAUUAUGCACAAUUGACAUUCCAUUACAUUCAGAGCGUGUAAAGUUACUCGAGCACCAAGGCAGGGGGCCGGUGAGGUCCCACGCAAGGCGGCACUCAGAGUCAUAGAUGCACAGGUGUGUGGAUUUGCGACGAGUCGACGUGCACAUGCGGAUCUCUCCACCAGCACAGAACGACAAGCCGACUUUUGAAGUUUCAUUAAUGAUCCUUCCGCAGGUUCACCUACGGAAA